CCUACGGGUGGCAGCAGUGGGGGAUAUUGCACAAUGGGGGAAACCCUGAUGCAGCGACGCCGCGUGAGUGAAGAAGUAUUUCGGUAUGUAAAGCUCUAUCAGCAGGGAAGAAAAUGACAGUACCUGACCAAGAAGCCCCGGCUAACUACGUGCCAGCAGCCGCGGUAAUACGUAGGGGGCAAGCGUUAUCCGGAUUUACUGGGUGAAAAGGGAGCGUAGGCGGUUAUGUAAGUCUGGAGUGAAAGCCCGGGGUUCAACCCGGGGGCGUCAUUGGAAACUGUGUAACUGGAGUGCAGGAGGGGAAGGCGGAAUUCCAGGUGUAGCGGUGAAAUGCGUAGAUAUCAGGAGGAACACCAGUGGCGAAGGCGGCCUGCUGGACUGAAACUGACGUUGAGGCUCGAAAGCGUGGGGAGCAAACAGGAUUAGAUACCCGAGUAGUC
rnacentral:rRNA from 1 species